CAUAGGUAGUGGCUUGGUUAAAGGAACCCACCAGAGCCGUAGCAAGAGCAACUGUUCAUAGGGCAAUUGUCACUGCUUAUGGACCUGAACCUGGGUGAUCUAUAUGGCUAGGAUGAAGCUUGGGUGAAACUAAGUGGAGGUCUGAAUCGACUGAUGUUGAAGAAUCAGCAGAUGAGUUGUGGUUAUGGGUGAAAUGCCAAUCGAACCCAAAGCUAGCUAG
rnacentral:ncRNA from 1 species